UACGAAGGGGGCUAGCGUUGCUCGGAAUCACUGGGCGUAAAGCGCACGUAGGCGGAUCGUUAAGUCAGGGGUGAAAUCCUGGAGCUCAACUCCAGAACUGCCUUUGAUACUGGCGAUCUUGAGUUCGGGAGAGGUGAGUGGAACUGCGAGUGUAGAGGUGAAAUUCGUAGAUAUUCGCAAGAACACCAGUGGUGAAGGCGGCUCACUGGCCCGAUACUGACGCUGAGGUGCGAAAGCGUGGGGAGCAAACAGG
rnacentral:rRNA from 1 species